rnacentral:rRNA from 1 species
GUGGGGAAUUUUGGACAAUGGGGGGAACCCUGAUCCAGCCAUGCCGCGUGUGUGAAGAAGGCCUUUUGGUUGUAAAGCACUUUAAGCGAGGAGGAGGCUACCGAGAUUAAUACUCUUGGAUAGUGGACGUUACUCGCAGAAUAAGCACCGGCUAACUCUGUGCCAGCAGCCGCGGUAAUACAGAGGGUGCAAGCGUUAAUCGGAUUUACUGGGCGUAAAGCGCGCGUAGGUGGCCAAUUAAGUCAAAUGUGAAAUCCCCGAGCUUAACUUGGGAAUUGCAUUCGAUACUGGUUGGCUAGAGUAUGGGAGAGGAUGGUAGAAUUCCAGGUGUAGCGGUGAAAUGCGUAGAGAUCUGGAGGAAUACCGAUGGCGAAGGCAGCCAUCUGGCCUAAUACUGACACUGAGGUGCGAAAGCAUGGGGAGCAAACAGGAUUAGAUACCCGAGUAGUCC